UGCCCAACCUCAGAGCCAACUUCCUAC
rnacentral:piRNA from 1 species